GAUGAACGCUAGCUACAGGCUUAACACAUGCAAGUCGAGGGGAAACGAUAGAGAAAGCUUGCUUUUUCUAGGCGUCGACCGGCGCACGGGUGAGUAACGCGUAUCCAACCUGCCCAUCACUUGGGGAUAACCUUGCGAAAGUAAGACUAAUACCCAAUGACGUCUCUAGAAGACAUCUGAAAGAGAUUAAAGAUUUAUCGGUGAUGGAUGGGGAUGCGUCUGAUUAGCUUGUUGGCGGGGUAACGGCCCACCAAGGCGACGAUCAGUAGGGGUUCUGAGAGGAAGGUCCCCCACAUUGGAACUGAGACACGGUCCAAACUCCUACGGGAGGCAGCAGUGAGGAAUAUUGGUCAAAUGGACGAGAGUCUGAACCAGCCAAGUAGCGUGCAGGAUGACGGCCCUAUGGGUUGUAAACUGCUUUUAUAAGGGAAUAAAGUGAGUCUCGUGAGAUUUUUUGCAUGUACCUUAUGAAUAAGGACCGGCUAAUUCCGUGCCAGCAGCCG
rnacentral:rRNA from 1 species